UGAUGCGCCAUGCCGCGUGUAUGAAGAAGGCCUUCGGGUUGUAAAGUACUUUCAGUUGUGAGGAAGGGGGUGUCGUUAAUAGCGGCAUCUCUUGACGUUAGCAACAGAAGAAGCACCGGCUAACUCCGUGCCAGCAGCCGCGGUAAUACGGAGGGUGCGAGCGUUAAUCGGAAUUACUGGGCGUAAAGCGCAUGCAGGUGGUUCAUUAAGUCAGAUGUGAAAGCCCGGGGCUCAACCUCGGAACUGCAUUUGAAACUGGUGAACUAGAGUACUGUAGAGGGGGGUAGAAUUUCAGGUGUAGCGGUGAAAUGCGUAGAGAUCUGAAGGAAUACCAGUGGCGAAGGCGGCCCCCUGGACAGAUACUGACACUCAGAUGCGAAAGCGUGGGGAGCAAACAGGAUUAGAUACCCUGGUAGUCCACGCCGUAAACGAUGUCUACUUGGAGGUUGUGGCCUUGAGCCGUGGCUUUCGGAGCUAACGCGUUAAGUAGACCGCCUGGGGAGUACGGUCGCAAGAUUAAAACUCAAAUGAAUUGACGGGGGCCCGCACAAGCGGUGGAGCAUGUGGUUUAAUUCGAUGCAACGCGAAGAACCUUACCUACUCUUGACAUCCAGAGAAGCCAGCGGAGACGCAGGUGUGCCUUCGGGAGCUCUGAGACAGGUGCUGCAUGGCUGUCGUCAGCUCGUGUUGUGAAAUGUUGGGUUAAGUCCCGCAACGAGCGCAACCCUUAUCCUUGUUUGCCAGCGAGUAAUGUCGGGAACUCCAGGGAGACUGCCGGUGAUAAACCGGAGGAAGGUGGGGACGACGUCAAGUCAUCAUGGCCCUUACGAGUAGGGCUACACACGUGCUACAAUGGCGCAUACAGAGGGCAGCGAACUUGCGAGAGUGAGCGAAUCCCAAAAAGUGCGUCGUAGUCCGGAUUGGAGUCUGCAACUCGACUCCAUGAAGUCGGAAUCGCUAGUAAUCGUAGAUCAGAAUGCUACGGUGAAUACGUUCCCGGGCCUUGUACACACCGCCCGUCACACCAUGGGAGUGGGCUGCAAAAGAAGUGGGUAGUUUAACCUUUCGGGGGAGGGCGCUCACCAUUUUGGGGUUCAUGACGGG
rnacentral:rRNA from 1 species